GGUGUCUUCUGUGAAAUGUCAGCAAAAUGAAAUCCAGGGAGCCAUCAGGAUGAUAAGGAAAGGCCUCUGAUCCUAAAGUGAGACUGGACCAUGCAGAUUCGUGUUUGGAUGGUCGAUCUGCCUGUGUGUAUUACAGACCUCAGUGGUCCAAAGAUGCAAACAGUCAAUGUGCAAAAGUUCAUUAACUUGCAAAGCAGUAAGACAGAGUCCCCCAGGCCAAACUGCAGAUCUGCAAAUCACGGUGUAACGUAGAGGUGAAUAGUAAAACAGCAGAAAAGAAGAACGGAGAGAAGAGUACUGAUGGUUCCUGUUACUCCUUGCUGAGAAGAUACAUCUGUGUCUGCCACACUGCGUGUGGUAUCUCACAGCAGGCUCAUCCCGCAGAACCAGGGGAGAUCAUCAUUGGACCAAGACGGCAAAGACCCAAAGACCCUGUAUAGCCUUAGACGGAGUUGUUUAAGGACUUCUGUUAAACACAUUGCCUUCCAAGGACCUUAAAGCACGAUAUGCUACCCAGGAUUUUUCAUUCCCAGGACACAAUGCAGUCCCUGUUUGUUCAGCUCCAAGGUCGCUAGCCGAGUUGGCAUGUAAGGCUGAGUACAGCUGCCAGUGAACCAGAAUUGCUGAAGUUCUCUGCACUGUUGGAGUCUAUCAAGAUUUUAAGCUGCCGAUAGGAUGCUGAGGUUUAGGUUUUGUCUGAUUAAUGUUUUACUGUGAUUUUCUAUCCAAUUUGAUGAAAUUACAGUAGUUAUAAUUGCGAGCAUCAUGGGUAGGUAUUUCUGAGUGCAUGUAAUUUAUCAACUUUAAUGAGUAAAUAAGCACC